GGCCGCCGCACGUCGCCCUCCCCGGCAGGCUCAUUUAGAGCCACAACAAAUUCCUUUUAAAGAUAGCCCCGCGCUUAGCUGGAUGUCCUAAAUUCCAGGAAGGAGGGGGUGAGGAACCGCACCAAGUGUCACUGCCGUCCUGAGUUUAGUGUGAGAAGGGAAGCAGGUGGCCAAGGGGGAGGAAUCCCAGCUGUGUGCGGAGCUGGGCCGGUUUUCCACGCCUUGUCAGUUACCUCGUUUCUCAUUGUUGAUGGACAUGUCACAAGAAACUUGUUCUCCGCCACGGACCUAGCUCCUGAGGCCUUGCCACUGCUGCUCAGAAAUCACUUGAGGACGAACAUGAAGCAGGAGAAUAAUUGUGAAGUAGUACAUUCUGUCUCUUGGAAAACGUUAAGGAGUUUGAUACUAGCCUCACCUGCUCCCUCGCUCAGCUGCUCCCUGGCUCGGGGUCAUUACAAAGUAAUCUCAGUAACCGGUCCUCCCAGGCUCGAGGUCCACUCCACCCGUGAGCAAAGUUUUGCACAAAAACGGUGGUAACAAGGGCUAAUGAUGAUGAUUGGCCUGUGCUAGGCAGCAUGCUGAGAGCUUUGGCAGACUUGUUUAAUUCUUAAGAUAGCUGUGUGAGGUGAGCACUAUUACCCUCAUUUUACAGAUAAGGAAACAGAUUCGGAGAAUCGAUGUGUUCUCCCUGGGUGGGAACCAGGCACUACCUGUGGGGGCGGGGAGAUUACUUUGAUCAGGGGACUUUCCAGGCUCACCUCAAGUCAUACCAGGAAGGCAAGAUUUUUCAUUCAUCCCUGCUGUCAACUACAGUAAACCUAGUCCUAGUUAAACAGGGUGGGUGUCAGGGGUCAUGCUUAAUCCUCUAGAGCAAGAGAAACUGCUCUGGAACACCUGAAUUAUUUAAGCCAAUUUUCUCAUUGCCCUGAGUUUGAUACGGUAUCUUAAAAAGUCAUUUAAUGAUUAAAUUUCAUAUAGCCCUUCAUUCCUAGCUCAGGCCAUUGGAUAAUGCCAGACAGAACCUGUUCUCGUUAAACAUGUAGGGAACCUAAAGGAACUGAGUGAGUUCCCGUGUAAGUUAGGAGUGGAGCCAUGUUCAGAAUUAGCUGUUAGCCUAGGUCAAGGUCGGGUGAGUCCUGUUUUUGCUUUUCCUUUUGGUUGUCUUAUCCCUCAUCACUGUCAUCUAGGCAGGAGAGAGCUAGGGAAGGGAAACUGGUCUGUGACUGGUGUCUGGAAAGGGAAAUUCAAAUGAGGACAAGUUCAGGGGGAGGAGGUUAUUCCUGUGUGCAUCAUUACAAUUUUAUGUAAUAGAAACAAGUGAUUUGAAAGCCAGGCGCCCGAUAGAAGUUGAAGGCCAGUUGUGCCCCAUCCCAGCUGGAAGGCCUUAGACCAGCUGUGGAGGGUGAGACCCAGUUUCCUCAUCUGUGAAGUGGCAUCCUUGCCCCUGACAUUCCCCUCUGCUGUCACCUCUGCCUCCUCUAGUCUUCUGCAGGCUGGUGUUUCUCAAAGUUCUCUCCUAGGGCCAGUCUCUUCAACACGCUCUCCUGGAUGAUUUUACCCAGGUCAUGGCCCUUUUUACUGUUUGAAGUCUUUGUCCCUUGCCCAGGUCUCUUUCCUGAGCUCCAGAUCUGUAUACAGAACAUCCCCACAUGGACACCUCAAAUUAAAUGUUCCAAACUGAACUGCUCAUUAUCUGUUUCCCAGGCGCCUAUGACAAAAAGUAGGCCCUGCCUCUGCACAUCCCCACCCAGUUAUUCAAGCCAAAGUCUGGCUAAUUCCCCUUUCCCUGAUUGUGUUGGUUAUACAAUCAAUGAAUGGUCAUCUCCUAGGUCAGGUUGUUAGCUGCCUUCUGGCUACCAGCCCCUAAAACCUCCACCGUGCAGCCGGAACCCCUCCCUUGGUCCUCUUUAGUGGCUCCCAUUGCACUCAAAGUGAAGUAUGGCACGGGUUUCAGAGCCACUCAAGAUCGUGCUCAGAUAGGUCUCUAGCUGCUCCCCUCGAUGUACUCCACCUUUCAGCCAUUCUUAAAUUCUUUCAAUUCUUCUAAUGGUGCCAGAUUCUUUUGUUGUUUCCCUGAGCUUCAGCAGAGGCUGUUCUGAAAAUGCUGCCGCACUGUGUCAUCUCAUCCCCGUGCCCGUUCUCCCGUGCCCGUUCUUCUGACAAAAAGCUCCUACUCUUUCAGUUCUCGUCUGUCACUUCCUCCAGAAAGCUCUGACCUCCACCCAACUCCACGGGUGCACAAAGAACUGUGCUUUCCCAUCACAGUGCCGAUGCACUGUAUCCUGAGUGUCUUUUAACUGUGCUGAAUCUAAGUCCUUCUUUAGGUAGUGGGGGAGUGCAUCAGAAUCACUCAGGGUGCUUUGUCCUCUUGCACCUCAAAACCCCACCCACCCCUCACCAUUCCCAGUCUGCCAUGAGUGUGUGGUAACAAUCAGGACUCAAUGAGCCCGUGCUACUAAUGACGUGCUGUGUCCCUGGGGGUGUUACGGGAAGAAAGGUUGAGAACUGCUGCAGUUCCACAAGGAAGGGGUUGUUCUGUCCCUCGUGCCUGGCCCAGCGGAAGGCACAGAGUAGGAGACAGUCAGGAAUAUGUGUAAGAUUGACUGGAGACGAAAGGCUUAAGUCAAAAUGUACAUUAAGUCCCCAGGACAGAAAAGGCAUGGGGUAAACCUGGACUGUCUUUCCCUCCACUUGCUGAAAUGGAGCGUCGUGCCUGCCAUCCUUGUCAUCCUUUAUCCUGCAGAUCGUUUCUAGGGGGAAGCCAUCUUCAGAAGAGGAACUUUAUUCAGGUUGUCUCUGAAAAAGUGGGACUGAAUCCCGGGAGGAGUCAAGACUGGAGGUGGAAAGGUGUAUUUUAUACUCAUUAUCUCUUCUAAGAGCACCAAGAUUCUGCCCUCAAGAGGUUUAUUUUCAGGAAAAUGACACAGAAAGGUAACUGCAUGGAAGCGAGACUGGGGACAAGGACUCAGGCAGGGAAGCGACUGUAGUAGUUCAAGCAAGUGGUCAAGAAAGCCUGGAACAGUGGUCUUCAAAUUGCGGGUCACAACCUGUACUAAAACCAGUCUCCAUGGAGGAUGCAAAAAUGAAUGGAACACAAUUAUGUCUUCAACAAGGUUGCAAUCCAAGUGGGAGUUAUGAAACAUUACAAUCAGCUACAAUAAAGGACUUCUGAUUUCCCUUAGAAAAAGAAUGAUUCUCAGUCUUUUUCUCUCUGAGGCACAAAUGAUGGAAGAUAAUCACAGUCAUCAUACACUCCCAUGGGAACUAGCUGCACCUCCUACUCAAGAAAGCGUCAGAGAAUUCAAGUCAGCUUGGGAAGCUUGCGCUAAGGAUAACCUUGAACAUGAAUUAAAUGUUUUAAAGCCAGCCAACUCGAGUAUGAGAUACUCUAAUAUUAGUUACAAAUGACUUGUAGAUAUUCACACAACUAAAUCAUCUCAACGCCUUGCUUGGUUGACAGCUGCGAGCCUAGAUGAUGUUCUCACCGGCAAGCGUUACUCCACGUGGGUUAAGUACACACACGACACACUCCCCCGCCAUCUGUAUGCAUCCACCUUCCCAGUCUUAACUAGACAUAGACUCUCACAGUUUUUCAUUUUUUUCUCUGUUUUCUAAACUUUCCUGUUUCAAACUCUAUCAACAAUUACCUACAAUGGCAUAGAAUUUGCUCUUUGAUUUUAUCUGUAAAUAUAUUUAAUCACAACAGAUUUUCACUUUGAAAAUUAGAUUGGUUAUGGAGGGUUCAUUUUGAUUUUUUUUCCCAUGACAUUAACUUCAGGCUAAUAAGUAUUCUAAGCCGGAAAGAGAAAACAAGAAGUAUUUGACAUGUUCAAAGGUAAAAUCCCUUCUCUCAUCUAAAAUCAUGAGGAAGAGGGGAGGGUAUAGUUAGGGGGGAGGGUACAGCUUAAGUGGUAGAGCACAUGCUUAGCAUGCAUGAGGUCCUGGGUUCAAUCCUCGGUACCUCCUCUAAAAAUAAAUAAAUAAGUAAACCUAAUUACCUCCCCACCACCAAAAUAAAAAAAUUUAAAAUCAUGAGAAUUUGCACUCUCCUCACAAUUUUAUCUGUUAAUAGAACAUAUUUGGGUAGACCUACUAUUAACUUUAAAAUACAAGCCAGGAGAAACAAUUGACUGGAGUGUCCAUUAGUCUUUGUUUGUUGAUGUAAUAGCUUACUUCAGAAUGGUUUUCUGGAAAUACAUAUUUAUUAUAUUUUAGUAUAUUUUUGUGGUUGACCACAUUCUUAUCAUUCUGACACAUGUCAAAGUUCAUUUUAGGAUCUCUUUAUUUUUUUAUUCAACAGAUUUUUUGAGUGUCUACUCUCUGUUCUGGUGAUGGAAAUUCAACAAUGAUUAGAAUAGACACAAAUCCUAGCUCAUGUAUAGCAUAGUUCCUAGUCGGGGAAAGAAAGACCGUGAUCAAAUAAGUAAGUGAAACAUAUUGUGUGACAGAUGGCAAUAAGUUCUAUAGAAAAAAGAAAUGCAGAUAAGAGGAGAGAGAGUUCUGGAGUGGAAGUUGCAGUUUUAAAUAAGGUGGACAGGGACCUCUCUGAGAAACUGGCCUUUCAGCAAAGACCUGCAGGAAGUGAGGGAGUGAAUUAUGGGGUUGUUUGAGGGAAGGAGCCUGCCAGGUAGUAGGAACAGCAAGUGCCAAAGCCCUGAGGUGAGCGCCUGCUGGUCUGCCCAGGGAGGAGGAUGUGCCAUUAGGAAGGUAAUGGGGUCUCUUGUGGACAUUUUGAGGGUUUUGCUCUUGAAUGAGAUGGAAAGCUACUGGAGGUUUUUAAACAGAGGAAUGACAAGAUCUUAAUUGUGACUGACUUGAACAUCAGUGGAUGGGAUAAAAUAUGAGUCUGGAGUCACUUUAGUGAUGACUUCUAGAGAGCCAAGGUGUUUCAUGGAGCUGGGCAAAGAUUUAGUGUCUGAGGAUUUUCAUAAUUUUGGUAUUUUUUCGGGAAGUCAGGAAGGAAGGAAGGAAGAGAAAGAAAAGGGGGAGCGGGUAAAAAGGAAGAGAGAAAAAGAAAUCAAGUAUUGUUGAGACACUGAGAGUAGAAACUUUCAUUAUAACCACAGUAUCCAUACUCCUGACAAACCUGGUAAAUUAAAACAAUAUGGGGAAUAUAUAGUGCUCUCAUAGUCACAAUAAAUAGAUGAUAAAUGCUUUGUUUUUGCUCACAACUUUCCUUCAAGCCAGGACAAGCCCUUCUACCCAGUUUGUUAGUUAAACUGUCUGCAAAAUGUCCAGAAAUUAUAUUUGAAAACAUUUCCUUGGCGUCUUGGGAUGUUCAGUUAAUUAAUGUCUUGUAAACUGCUUCAGGAUCCUCAAGAACACAAAACCACCCUAAAAACAAGAGUUUUCGAUUAUUGCAAGGAAGGACAUGACUGGGGGCAUCUGUUUUACCUUUGUAUAUGUUACAAAAUAUACAAAUCUGUAUAUACCAUUGGCGAUAAUUUCUCCCACAUACCAUUAUCAAUAGAAGCUGUUUAAUAGUGACUCGGAGAGCCAAUUCUGAGAAGUAAAAGAAUCAUUUUGGAAACGCUAACAACGGCAUUGGUCUUCAUUAAACUGUGGCCCUGUUUAACUAGCAAAAAAAAAAUUAA